CUCAGGAGAGUCAUCACAGUCUCCGAACACUUCUGCAAAGUCUGAUGGACUUUUCCUCAGAGUCUGGUCAGCUGGCAGUGUGUUGUCAUUGUACGAUGACACAAACUUAAAGUCACUGGUUCGAGACCCUGUUGUCAGGUAGGCGUCAUAAUUGUAAGCACUGCGUAAAGUUCCUGUACCGUCAACAUCUGCGUAAUUAGGAGGGAGAUACGCGCUGGGGAUGGCCACUGCUCCGUCAAACAACAGUCUGGGCUUUCUCCUGCGACAAAACCUCACACCAAGGAUGAUGAUGAUGAAGGUCAGAAAAAACGUCGACACACACACCAGCGCGAUGAUCAGAUAAGAGGUCAGUUUGGAGUUCUUCUCAUCAUAAGAAAUGUCCUUCAGUUCUGGCACCUCAGCCAAGUUAUCAGAAAUCAGUAAAUACAUGGAACAGGUGGCAGACAGAGAGGGCUGCCCGUUAUCUUUCACUGACACUACAAGGUUCUGUUUCAUGCUGUCAGAUUCGGAAAUGUCCCGCUGGGUCCUGAUCUCUCCGCUGUGGACACCAAUAGUGAAAAGUCCCGGAUCAGUGGAUUUCACAAUUUGAUACGACAGCCAGGCGUUCUGUCCAGAGUCCGCGUCCACCGCUAUCACUUUGGACACCAGAGAGCCUCCGUGUGCAGCUUUGGGGACCAGCUCGGUCAUGAACGACUUGCCCUCUGGCCCGGGGUACAGGAUCUGAGGAGAGUUGUCAUUCACAUCGGAUAUGAACACACUCACGGUCACGUUGCUGCUGAGAGGAGGAGAACCGUUGUCUCUGGCCAUCACCUGAACUUUGAAGCUCCGGAACUGUUCAUAAUCAAACGACCUCACAGCGUGGAUCACCCCCGUGUCUCCGUUCACUGACACAUAGGAGGACACCGGGGCACCGUUCACCUCACCGCCUAACAGAGAAUAAAUCACUGUACCGUUCUGUCUCCAGUCGGGGUCUCGAGCACUAACGGAACAUAAAGUGGAGCCAGCUUUGUUAUUCUCACUCACAUAUGCGCUGUACGACUGCUCCUCAAACACAGGUGGGUUGUCGUUGAUGUCUGCUACAGAUAACUGAACAGUUUUAGACGACGACAGAGGUGGAGAGCCCUCGUCAGUGGCACUGAUUGUAAUGUUGUAAUCAGACACUAGUUCACGGUCCAGUUGUCCUGUGCUCACCAGAGAAUAAUAGUUUUUAAUAGAAGGAACCAACUUAAAAGGGACAUUUUGAGGAAUGGAGCAGCGGACCUGUCUGUUACUAUCAGAGUCUCUGUCCUGCACGUUAAUGAUGCCCACCUCUGUACCAGGUGACACGUUCUCAGGGAUGGGGUUCGUCAGUGAUUUCAGGUAUAUCACUGGAGCAUUAUCAUUUAUAUCUGUUAUAUCAAUUAUUAGGGUGGCAUAUGAAGCCAAUCCUAGUCCGUCUUUUGCGCUUAUCUGUAAUUCGUAUGACGAUUCUUUUUCAUAAUCAAGUGAUCCGGCCACUGUUACCUCACCAGUCUUGGAGUUCAGAGCGAAAACUUGGUUUUCAUCUGAAACAUCGUCAAAUCCAUAAGAGAUGUUACCAUACAUUCCUUCGUCCGCAUCAGUUGCACUCACUGUGAUCACCAGUGUAUCUACAGGAGAGUUUUCAGGCAGACUGGCUUUAUAAACGGCCUGACUGAACACUGGUACAUUAUCAUUAGCAUCCAGUACAGUGACGUGUAUGACGACUGUACCUGAUCUACGAGGAGAUCCUCCAUCAAAUGCAGUUAGUAACAACAUGAGCUCCUUUUUGUCCUCUCUGUCUAACUCUUUCUCUAAAACCAGUUCUCCAUAUUUUCGUCCGCUUGCUUUCGUCUUUAUAUUUAAUUUAAAAUGAUCAUUCUGUUGAAGAGAAUAGCCCUGAACACCAUUUUCCCCGAUGUCUCCAUCGUGUGCCUCAUCCAAGAGAAAACGCGCACCUUUAUCCGCGGAUUCCUGAAUUUCAAUUCUAAGCGACUCUUCUUUAAAUUGAGGUGAAUUGUCGUUGAUAUCUUGAACGCGAAUAUUUAUUCGGUGCACCUCUAAAGGAUUUUCCAGGACGAGCUCCUGUUUCAGAACACAUGAUGCUCUUUUCGCACAAAGACCCUCUCUGUCGAUCCUUUCUUGAACCAUUAAUUCUCCGGUGUUCAGAUUUACGCUGCAGUACUUCACACUGUUGUCCUCAGUAUCAACGCGGGCAUUGCGAGCCGACAGUCUUCCCGAUUCCAGUCCCAGAUCCUUCGCAAUGUUGCCAAUUACAGAUCCACUUUUCAUCUCCUCCGGAAUGGAGUAGCUCACGUCCCCAAAGACGAGGUGGAGGGCGAGAAAAAUAACAGCUAGGCCGCCAUGCAGCAUCAAUCUCAUAAAUCCCAUUGUCUCUGCUUGAAAAAAAUCUUAUAAAAGAGCUACUUUGGGUCAAAAUAUAUCAACGAUUAUUCAUUAAAGCUGAAAACACUAAUCACAAACAGCUCUAUAUGAAACUGUUUGUCAAAUGCAACACCAAAGGUCUGGCUGUAGAUUCGUUUGGGCGGAAGGGUGGAGAAUGUGUUUCCCUGUUUGCUAGUACACACUGACACCAUGAGUAUUUCUAAGGAAUAACGAGAGACAGACUUUUCUUUUCUGUGCAUAUCAAAAAACGUAUUCCGUGCCCUCAUAUUUUUUUAUUAAACAUUGAAAUGUUCUUACUUUGUCAGGAGAAGAAUCACCAUACAGCUGUUCGGACUUUAACAGUGAGAUAACAGACUGUGACAUGUUCAGAGUGUCUACACUGCAUUAAAAGGCACAUUUUUUGACACCAAGGUCAGACAAUGUUUUGUGAAACCAACCAAAUAAAGUGAGUAACAGCAUAGUACUGAGAAAUGAACUAACUCUAAAAUACAUUACAACAUCCAAUGAUGAUGUUCAGCACCAAAGACAGAAAAAAUAAAAGGAAUAUAAUAUAAAUAUAUAGAAUAUAAAAAGAAAAGCAAACGUCCAGUGAGCAUAUGAUGGAGUGAGAAGCUGGGCCAGAACUAUUUUCAAAUGCAAAGAAGUGGACCAUCUUAACAUGUUAGACAAGAACAUGAUGAGCAUUCCUAAGUGAUGGUGUCUCUGUGCUUGUUACAAAUAGGACAAAAGGAAAAAUAUGUUGUUAUGGUGCUACAUGAAAAAUUGCACUAAUAAGCAAACAUCAGUGUGCAAAAAGCGAACUGAUGUAUGAGUUAUAUGUUUAAAGUAAGAACAGAUAUCAAUGAUAAAGGGAACCAUCUUCAAACUUAAAAAAGAAGCUGAAAAAAUGCAUUUUAAAAUUUAAUUAUCAAAUGUCAAAUAAACUGUGGACACGAAAAGCACAAUUAAAGAACUGAGAAUUGUAUACACAAACUAAAGGGAGCACAACUUUGGGAGCUUGAACAAAAAGGUUCAGUAUAAUAAAAUCCAGUCAUACAGGUGACUACACUCUCCAAAAACAACAGCUAAAUAUUUUGAACUUUGAGUUUUCACUGCAAAACGACACAAACUCUUAGUCACUGGUUAAAGACCCUGUGAUCAGGUAGGCAUCAUAAUUGUACAUUCCUGAGUGCCAAGAAAAAAGAGACAAACCACAGAUUAAAAAGAUUAAUAAAAAGACAAAAAGGGGGAAAGUGUGUGUUUAAAGGGUUUAAAGAAGAAAGGGAAAAUAUUUUUUUUAUUUCUUAUUUAAAAAAGGAAUGUUAAUCAAGUUUUUUUUAACACAAUGCAGCUCAGCUUGAAGUCUCAUGCUUUAUAAACCCUCCUAAAAGUAUGCAGAACAAUAAUGUAAAAAGACACAAACUCUCACAUGUUUCAACAGGAAAUCUGAUUAACUGCUCAUACCAGAAACUGUGUGCAGAUUAGCUCAUUCACUUAUGACUAGUAAACACAUUCAAGAAAAUCAAUCCAUGGAGCAAAGUCAAAGUGAUGGAGUCAGUGGUCCUGCAAACUUAUAAAUGGUCCAUUAACCAAACACCUAAAGGAAAACAAACAUUUCUAUAUAACAUCCUUCAUUAAACAGGGUGACCUGCAUUGGAGGACAAAGUUAAAAAACCAACAAACAGAAACUUGUAGGAGCCCGAGAUGAUACAACUAAAGACACAGUCAUUGCAAACUGCUGAAUGACCACACACCUGUGAUUAAUACUCAAUCUAAUAUUUUCAAAGACACUAAAUAUAAUUGAUGCAUGAGUCAAGUAAGAUAAAAAAAAAAGAAUUUUUGGAUAUUCUUAAUAAUACAGAAAGGAUUUGUUUUCUAAAAUACUGUUUCCAGGGGGCAAUGGAAAUUCAGCACCAAGGACAGAGACAACAAAAAACAUGAUUUGCCCAAAUCAUGCGAAGACAAAUUCCACGUCAAAAUAACAAGAUUUACAUGAAUCACACUUUCAUCUUUAAGUUCACACUGACUUAAAAACAGAAAGCAGAAAUCCACAAAAUGUUUCUGGUGGGACAAGAAUGGAUGUGUAGCAAGGUAUGGGGAACACAGGCAAAACUAUUUAACCCUGCUGAACAGAAACGUAGCAAAAUUGCUCAUCAAAGCUAAUAGCCUCAUGCCUGGAAAACUCUUAUACAGAGACAAAGGAGAGAACAACGUCUUGCAAACACAAAUUUCCUCAUGAUCACAGAACAAUUUCUUCAAGAGUUCCCAUACUGAAUAAACCAGCGUGCAACACAGCAAUCAUAUGAUAUGUACUUAUUUGAACUGCACAAGAGCUAAUGUUGCUUCUGUUCAGAUACUUUCUUCGCACUCAGCUGAUAGUAAAUUAUAUUAUGAAAGCAGAGGACAGUGACAUUUUCUAUGUGGCCAAUAAGAUACAAAAUGGUCCGGCAAGUUUUUGACCAGUGCUAACUCUGACUUGCUUGUGGAAUGUCCUCAACUGACCAAGACCUUAAAGUAUUAGGCACCAACCUGUGUUUUCGUUAGGUUCGAAACACAGAAGGGUCAGCGCUGUAAAGUUAAACACCGUCAGAAAAACUGACAAUGAUAUUUAAAAAAGCACAUUAUGAUACUACAGUAAAGGGACAAAUGAACGAACAAGAAAAAGGCAGAAUCUGAAGAAAGUAUUCUUUCACUGAAUUCAUAAUGGCAAACCAAGUUCCUUAAAUCGUGUGCCGACAAAACGACAAAAACAUUUAACCGUCUCUAUUAAUGCUAUCAAAUUACCUAACAAAAGAGAGAUCUAACAAAAUGAAGCAAAUAUACUGUGUCUGGCAAACAUUCCUACCUCGGGAGAGUCAUCGCAGUCUCCAAACACUUCAGCAAAGUCUGAUGGACUUUUCCUCAGAGUCUGGUCAGCUGGCAGUGUGUUGUCAUUGUACGAUGACACAAACUUAAAGUCACUGGUUCGAGACCCUGUUGUCAGGUAGGCGUCAUAAUUGUAAGCGCUGCGUAAAGUUCCUGUGCCGUCAACAUCUGCGUAAUUAGGAGGGAGAUACGCGCUGGGGAUGGCCACUGCUCCGUCAAACAACAGUCUGGGCUUUCUCCUGCGACAAAACCUCACACCAAGGAUGAUGAUGAUGAAGGUCAGAAAAAACGUCGACACACACACCAGCGCGAUGAUCAGAUAAGAGGUCAGUUUGGAGUUCUUCUCAUCAUAAGAAAUGUCCUUCAGUUCUGGCACCUCAGCCAAGUUAUCAGAAAUCAGUAAAUACAUGGAACAGGUGGCAGACAGAGAGGGCUGCCCGUUAUCUUUCACUGACACUACAAGGUUCUGUUUCAUGCUGUCAGAUUCAAAAAUGUCCCGCUGGGUCCUGAUCUCUCCGCUGUGGACACCAAUAGUGAAAAGUCCCGGAUCAGUGGAUUUCACAAUUUGAUACGACAGCCAGGCGUUCUGUCCAGAGUCCGCGUCCACCGCUAUCACUUUGGACACCAGAGAGCCUCCGUGUGCAGCUUUGGGGACCAGCUCGGUCAUGAACGACUUGCCCUCUGGCCCGGGGUACAGGAUCUGAGGAGAGUUGUCAUUCACAUCUGAUAUGAACACACUCACGGUCACGUUGCUGCUGAGAGGAGGAGAACCGUUGUCUCUGGCCAUCACCUGAACUUUGAAGCUCCGGAACUGUUCAUAAUCAAAAGACCUCACAGCGUGGAUCACCCCCGUGUCUCCGUUUACUGACACAUAGGAGGACACCGGGGCACCGUUCACCUCACCGCCUAACAGAGAAUAAAUCACUGUACCGUUCUGUCUCCAGUCGGGGUCUCGAGCACUAACGGAACAUAAAGUGGAGCCAGCUUUGUUAUUCUCACUCACAUAUGCGCUGUACGACUGCUCCUCAAACACAGGUGGGUUGUCGUUGAUGUCUGCUACAGAUAACUGAACAGUUUUAGACGACGACAGAGGUGGAGAGCCCUCGUCAGUGGCACUGAUUGUAAUGUUGUAAUCAGACACUAGUUCACGGUCCAGUUGUCCUGUGCUCACCAGAGAAUAAUAGUUUUUGAUAGAAGGAACCAACUUAAAAGGGACAUUUUGCUGAAUGGAGCAGCGGACCUGUCUGUUACUAUCAGAGUCUCUGUCCUGCACGUUAAUGAUGCCCACCUCUGUACCAGGUGACACGUUCUCAGGUAUGGGGUUCGUCAGUGAUUUCAGGUAUAUAACCGGAGCGUUGUCGUUUAUAUCUGUUAUAUCAAUUAUGACUUUGGCAUAUGAGGUCAAUCCCAAGCCAUCUUUCGCUGUGACACGCAGUUCAUACGAUGUCGCCAUUUCAAAAUCAACUGCUCUUUUUAAUUGUAUUUCCCCUGUCUUAUGAUCAAUGGCGAAUAUUGACCCCAUAUCUUCUGAGAUGUGUCCAAAAUCAUAUAUAACAUCCCCAUUUAAUCCCUCAUCUGCAUCAGUAGCGCUCACUGCUAGAACAAUGGUAUCCAGUGGAGAAUUUUCAGGCAGACUGGCUUUGUAAACGGCCUGGCUGAACACUGGUACAUUAUCAUUAGCAUCCAGUACAGUGACGUGAAUAACUACUGUACCUGAUCUCUGAGGAGAGCCUCCAUCCAGAGCUGUAAGGAGCAGAUUCAUUUCUUUCACAUUUUCACGGUCAAGCUCAUGGUUAAGAACGAGCUCCACAGAACUUGUUCCAACGCCCAGAACAAAAUUAUCAUUCUUUUGGAGGCUGUAGGUCUGAACUGAAUAUUUACCGACGUCCGCGUCAUGUGCUUCCUCUAUUGGAAAACGAGCUCCCUUAUCUGCCGAUUCACUGAUAUCUAUUUGGAUCAACUCCUUGUUAAACUGUGGUGAAUUAUCGUUUAUAUCCUGCACAUGUAGACUAAUCCUGUGCAGUUCCAACGGAUUCUCUAACAUCAGUUCCUGUUUCAAAACGCAGGAUGCUUUGUCUCCACAAAGGCCCUCUCUGUCGAUUCUCUCUGCAAGAAUUAGAUCCCCAUUAUGGAGGUUUAUGUCACAAAAACGUUUAUCGCUCUCCUCAGUGUCAAUGCGGGCCUUUCGGGUCGAUAGUCCGUUCUUUUGGAGACCUAAUUCCUUAACAAUGUUUCCGAUCACAGAUCCGCGUUUCAUCUCCUCCGGAAAAGAAUAGCUGAUAUCUCCAUUGGUGACAUGAAGAGAGAACAGCACCAAGCCGAGGGCAAAGCGUUGUAAUCCUAGCAUCGUGAAAGCCAUCACCAACCCGAACUGGAAUAGUAAAUACUUCUUAGUGCAGGAAAAAUGUCCGAAAAAAGGACUUCAACCAACAACAAGGAGCCCGUGCC
rnacentral:lncRNA from 1 species